GAUGAACGCUGGSGGCGUGCCUAACACCWGCAAGUCGAGCGAUUYUYUUCGGAGAAGAGCGGCGGACGGGUGAGUAACGCGKGGGUAACCUSCCCUGUACACACGGAUAACAUACCGAAAGGUAUGCUAAUACGAGAUAAUAUAUAAGAGUSGCAUGACUUUUAUAUCAAAGAUUUUUCGGUACAGGAUGGACCCGCGUCUGAUUAGCUUGUUGGCGGGGGAACGGCCCACCAAGGGGACGAUCAGUAGCCGACCUGAGAGGGUGAUCGGCCACAUUGGAACUGAGACACGGUCCAAACUCSUACGGGAGGCAGCAGUGGGGAAUAUUGCACAAUGGGCGCAAGCCUGAUGCAGCAACGCCGCGUGAGCGAUGAAGGCCUUCGGGUSGUAAAKCUYUGUCMUCAAGGAAGAUA
rnacentral:rRNA from 1 species